CAAUAUUUACAUUUAAACAAAAAUAAUAUGUAUAUAUUUUCGCGACCUUCUCUUUCUUCUAUCUUCGUACUUUUACUUGAGAUAAUCUUCUUUUGUAUUUAGUCGUACACUAUCUGUAAUACGAACAUCAUGUCACGCUUACCGAGAGCCUGGGACUGGGCAUUGAAAUAUUUUACACAAAUAGAUGAUAGAAAAGUAAAAUGCAAUAUAUGUGCUUCAAUAAUUGUUUCUUUUACUCUUAUCAAACGCAAUGCAAAGAGACAUUUAAGUAACGACCACAACGAAAGGUAUCGCAACAUUACUUCAGAAAACUCAACAGAACGUUGGGAAUCACUAUUUAAUACAUUUCAAAACACUUAUGGAGACAGUUAUAUGCAGUGCAAAAUUUGUAAAGGAGAUUAUAGUAUAACCAAACGGGAAAACAUCACAAAACAUUUAAAAGGAGUGCACGAUAUAACAAAGGAAGAUCACGACUUUAUGGCUACACAUCUUAAUCAAUAUAUCACAUUUUGGCAGACACAACAAUGCACAAAAUGUAAAAGCAUUUUUCAAAACAUGUGUCUUCCUGUUUUCAAACAGCAUUUUAGCCAAUGUCAGGGGAAUAUGAUGAACCUUUAGAUCUAACUUUACCGAAAUAAUAGAAAAAGCGAUCAUUCAGUAAUCCAGACACUUAUAGUUUUAA